rnacentral:rRNA from 1 species
GACGAACGCUGGCGGCGUGCUUAACACAUGCAAGUCGAGCGAGACCCCGCUUUCGGGUGGGUGUUCUAGCGGCGAACGGGUGAGUAACACGUGGGCAACCUGCCCUCAGCUCUGGGAUAACUCCAAGAAAUUGGGGCUAAUACCGGAUAUGACCGCUGACCGCCUGGGCUGGUGGUGGAAAGACUUAUCGGCUGGGGAUGGGCCCGCGGUCUAUCAGCUUGUUGGUGGGGUAGUGGCCUACCAAGGCGACGACGGGUAGCCGGCCUGAGAGGGUGACCGGCCACACUGGGACUGAGACACGGCCAGACUCCUACGGGAGGCAGCAGUGGGGAAUAUUGCGCAAUGGGCGAAAGCCUGACGCAGCGACGCCGCGUGGGGGAUGACGGCCUUCGGGUUGUAAACCUCUUUCAGCAGGGACGAAGCGAAAGAGACGGUACCCGCAGAAGAAGCACCGGCCAACUACGUGCCAGCCGCCGCCGAAA